AUUGAACGCUGGCGGCAGGCCUAACACAUGCAAGUCGAGCGGAUGAAGGGAGCUUGCUCCUGGAUUCAGCGGCGGACGGGUGAGUAAUGCCUAGGAAUCUGCCUGGUAGUGGGGGAUAACGUCCGGAAACGGGCGCUAAUACCGCAUACGUCCUGAGGGAGAAAGUGGGGGAUCUUCGGACCCCACGCUAUCAGAUGAUCCUAGGUCGGAUUAGCGAGUUGGUGGGGUAAAGGCCUACCAAGGCGACGAUCCGUAACUGGUCUGAGAGGAUGAUCAGUCACACUGGAACUGAGGCACGGUCCAGACUCCUACGGGAGGCAGCAGUGGGGAAUAUUGGACAAUGGGCGAAAGCCUGAUCCAGCCAUGCCGCGUGUGUGAAGAAGGUCUUCGGAUUGUAAAGCACUUUAAGUUGGGAGGAAGGGCAGUAAGUUAAUACCUUGCUGUUUUGACGUUACCAACAGAAUAAGCACCGGCUAACUUCGUG
rnacentral:rRNA from 1 species